rnacentral:rRNA from 1 species
GACGAACGCUGGCGGCGUGCUUAACACAUGCAAGUCGAACGGAAAGGCCCUGCUUUUGUGGGGUACUCGAGUGGCGAACGGGUGAGUAACACGUGAGUAACCUGCCCUUGACUUUGGGAUAACUUCGGGAAACUGGGGCUAAUACCGGAUAGGAGCUCCUGCUGCAUGGUGGGGGUUGGAGAGUUUCGGCGGUUGGGGAUGGACUCGCGGCUUCUCAGCUUGUUGGUGGGGUAGUGGCUUACCAAGGCGUUGACGGGUAGCCGGCCUGAGAGGGUGCACGGCCACAUUGGGACUGAGAUACGGCCCAGACUCCUACGGGAGGCAGCAGUGGGGAAUAUUGCACAAUGGGCGGAAGCCUGAUGCAGCAACGCCGCGUGCGGGAUGACGGCCUUCGGGUUGUAAACCGCUUUCGCCUGGGACGAAGCGUGAGUGACGGUAAUGGGUAAAGAAGCACCGGCUAACUACGUG